rnacentral:rRNA from 1 species
UGGGGAAUAUUGCACAAUGGGGGAAACCCUGAUGCAGCGACGCCGCGUGAACGAAGAAGGUAUUCGUAUCGUAAAGUUCUGUCCUAUGGGAAGAUAAUGACAGUACCAUAGAAGAAAGCUCCGGCUAAAUACGUGCCAGCAGCCGCGGUAAUACGUAUGGAGCGAGCGUUGUCCGGAAUUAUUGGGCGUAAAGGGUACGCAGGCGGUUUAAUAAGUCGAAUGUUAAAGAUCGGGGCUCAACCCCGCAAAGCAUUGGAAACUGAUAAACUUGAGUAGUGGAGAGGAAAGUGGAAUUCCUAGUGUAGUGGGGAAAUACGUAGAUAUUAGGAGGGAUACCAGUAGCGAAGGCGACUUUCUGGACACAAACUGACGCUGAGGUACGAAAGCGUGGGGGGCAAACAGG